GUUAAAUCUGUCGAAGGCCUCUCAUUGCUCCAUCCUGCCACCACCUAAGUCCCCUAAAGGCUCCCUCUCCUUCUCCUCCUCCUCUAAGAAGCUAGGGCGCAGCUCCUCCUCCACCACACAGCUAUGGAGUCCCUUCAGCCUCAGCCUGUUCAGCACCAGGCCGGCCAUCAUUCACUGACUUUACAGCUCAGGCGUUCCUAUUCUGCUCACAAGUCAAGUCGACUGAUGAUGGUAAAGAAAACUGGACAACCACCAUGUUGUCUGGGCCUUAAACAUCUUUAUCAUUUACCUUGAUGAUACUGUAAUGAUUUGUGUGACAGAGUAACUGCACUGUUAAUGUAGAGUCAACUCAGAGUGAAGAAACACUCAGAGAAUGAAACACUGGUCACAACAUUGAUAUUGACUCUAAUCUCAGUGUCUUCAGUAGAAUAUGAGCCAUCGUAUGUCAGAAGAUAAACACACAAAAUCUUAGAAAAAUAAUGUAAUUUCACAUACUGUGUACAUCCCACUAGCAUGAGUACUGAAACACUGAAUUCAACAAAGUUGGAAGGAGUCAUGAUAAAUGUAACACCAUGUUCAUAAGGUGUAGAAGUUUGGUCAGUGGACUGGUCCAGAGUCACAUGACUCUAAACUUAAACUGCACUUUAAUACUAGAACCUUAAAGGAAGAGUGCACCAGGGUUACACGUUAAAGUGUGUUUUCAGGUGUCGCUGCAUAUGUGGAAGAAGUAUAAAACCUUUUGUGGCUCCGGGGGAAGCUGCAUGUUAUAUGAUAAAUAUACUCCAGUGAUGUCACACAGGGGCUCAACUGCACUGUGGGUAAUUUAGUCACAGACAAAAUUGGUGAAGACCACCAUCUUAGUUGAGAUCUUAGUUGAUAGUAAAUCUUAGUUCUGAAUGGAGCACUGAGUAUGAACAGUUUGUAUACAUAUACAGUAGGUCAAUACAUAUUAAAUAUGUUUUUUAAAAAUGAUACAAUAUUUGGGAGAUUUUAUUUACUUUUAGUUGCCAACAAUAGUGGAAGCAAAAAUUGUGAUUCUUAAGGGGAAGUUUCUUCUGUUUGAGUGUGAAGCUCUUAAAGCAUGUGUGACUUUUCUAAACAAAUGACAAUGUGUUUUAUGUUUGUAUUUGAUGCAACAUCAUCUUGCUAUGCAAAUAUUAUCCACCUAUAAAAGUGUACUGUUACUACUAUGAAAGACCUUCAUCUGAUCCUGGAGCAGGUGUGCUGAUGGGGGAAUGUGUUGUCUGAUAACUGGUUGGUUCCAACGGAAGAAAAUAUAUCAUUAAGAUGUGAUAAGGUAGCUGCCUUUAGUGUUGCUGCAGAGAUUGUUAUUUUUAAAAUGAUAAAAUAAAAUUGUAUUGAUGAUGAUCAUGAAUGCUUGAGGUUGUUUAUCAGUGAAUGUGUUUUCAUUUCACAUCCCAGAGGAACUCCAGGAAUACAUCUGGUAGACUUUUUUUUUUUUUUAAAGAUUUUUUUGGCAUAGACACCUUUAUUAA
rnacentral:lncRNA from 1 species